AUUGCUUCUCGGCCUUUUGGCUAAGAUCAAGUGUAGUAUCUAAAGAGAUACCAUAUAUCAAACUUAAAUCAAGAUCAGGUAAACUAUU
ensembl:snRNA U2 U2 spliceosomal RNA